rnacentral:rRNA from 1 species
GUUGUAUGGUUAAGUGACUAAGCGUACACGGUGGAUGCCUUGGCAGUUGGAGGCGAUGAAGGACGUACUAACUUGCGAUAAGCCUAGUCAAGCCAGUAAGAGGCGCUUGAGACUAGGAUUUCCGAAUGGGGAAACCCACCUGCUUGCAGGUAUCGUUAACUGAAUACAUAGGUUAACGAGGCGAACGCGGAGAACUGAAACAUCUAAGUACCCGUAGGAAAAGAAAUCAACCGAGAUUCCGAAAGUAGCGGCGAGCGAAAUCGGACCAGCCCUUAAGCUUUAGUGUAGUUAGUGGAACAUGCUGGAAAGCAUGACGAAACAGGGUGAUAGUCCCGUACACAAAAACUUAUCUAAAGUGAAAUCGAGUAGGUCGGAGCACGUGAAACUUUGACUGAAUAUGGGGGGACCAUCCUCCAAGGCUAAAUACUCCCAACUGACCGAUAGUGAACCAGUACCGUGAGGGAAAGGCGAAAAGAACCCCUGUGAGGGGAGUGAAAUAGAACCUGAAACCGUGUACGUACAAGCAGUAGGAGCCUACUUGUUGGGUGACUGCGUACCUUUUGUAUAAUGGGUCAGCGACUUAUAUUCUGUAGCGAGGUUAACCAUUUAGGGGAGCCGUAGCGAAAGCGAGUCUUAACUGGGCGCUUAAGUUGCAGGGUAUAGACCCGAAACCCGGUGAUCUAGCCAUGGGCAGGUUGAAGGUUGAGUAACAUCAACUGGAGGACCGAACCCACUAACGUUGAAAAGUUAGGGGAUGACCUGUGGCUAGGAGUGAAAGGCUAAUCAAACCGGGAGAUAGCUGGUUCUCCCCGAAAUCUAUUUAGGUAGAGCCUCGGACGAAUACUUACGGGGGUAGAGCACUGUUAAGGCUAGGGGGUCAUCCCGACUUACCAACCCUUUGCAAACUCCGAAUACCGUAAAGUAAUAUCCGGGAGACACACGGCGGGUGCUAACGUCCGUCGUGGAGAGGGAAACAACCCAGACCGUCAGCUAAGGUCCCAAAGUGUAUGUUAAGUGGGAAACGAUGUGGGAAGGCUAAAACAGCUAGGAGGUUGGCUUAGAAGCAGCCACCCUUUAAAGAAAGCGUAAUAGCUCACUAGUCGAGUCGGCCUGCGCGGAAGAUGUAACGGGGCUAAACAUACCACCGAAGCUACGGCUGCAGACUUUGUCUGCGGGGUAGGGGAGCGUUCUGUAAGUGGCUGAAGGUGUGCCGGGAGGCAUGCUGGACAUAUCAGAAGUGCGAAUGCUGACAUGAGUAACGACAAGAGGAGUGAAAAACUCCUCCGCCGGAAGACCAAGGGUUCCUAUCCCAUGUUAAUCAGGGUAGGGUGAGUCGACCCCUAAGGCGAGGCUGAAGAGCGUAGUCGAUGGGAAACGGGUUAAUAUUCCCGUACUCGGUAUGAAUGCGAUGGGGGGACGGAGCAGGCUAGGCAAGCAUGGCGUUGGUUGUCCAUGUGAAAGGCUGUAGGCUGGUGACUUAGGAAAAUCCGGGUUGCCAAGGCUGAGAGUCGAGACGAGCCACCAAGGUGGUGAAGUUGUUGAUGCCCUACUUCCAGGAAAAGCCUCUAAGCUUCAGUUCAUACUGAAUCGUACCCUAAACCGACACAGGUGGUCAGGUAGAGAAUACUAAGGCGCUUGAGAGAACUCGGGUGAAGGAACUAGGCAAAAUUGUACCGUAACUUCGGGAGAAGGUACGCUCUUGUUUGUGAAAGACUUGCUCUGUAAGCAAACGAGAGCCGCAGUGACCAGGUGGCUGGGACUGUUUAUUAAAAACACAGCACUGUGCAAAAUCGUAAGAUGACGUAUACGGUGUGACACCUGCCCGGUGCCGGAAGGUUAAUUGAUGGGGUUAGCUUAGGCGAAGCUCUUGAUCGAAGCCCCGGUAAACGGCGGCCGUAACUAUAACGGUCCUAAGGUAGCGAAAUUCCUUGUCGGGUAAGUUCCGACCUGCACGAAUGGUGUAACCAUGGCCACGCUGUCUCCACCCGAGACUCAGUGAAAUUGAAAUCGCAGUGAAGAUGCUGUGUACCCGCGGCUAGACGGAAAGACCCCGUGAACCUUUACUACAGCUUGGCACUGAACAUUGACCCUACAUGUGUAGGAUAGGUGGGAGGCUUUGAAGCAGAGACGCUAGUUUCUGUGGAGCCGACCUUGAAAUACCACCCUUGUAGUGUUGAUGUUCUAACUUAGGCCCCUGAAUCGGGGUUGAGGACAGUGCCUGGUGGGUAGUUUGACUGGGGCGGUCUCCUCCCAAAGAGUAACGGAGGAGCACGAAGGUUUGCUAAGUACGGUCGGACAUCGUACGGUUAGUGUAAUGGUAGAAGCAAGCUUAACUGCGAGACAGACACGUCGAGCAGGUACGAAAGUAGGUCAUAGUGAUCCGGUGGUUCUGAAUGGAAGGGCCAUCGCUCAACGGAUAAAAGGUACUCCGGGGAUAACAGGCUGAUACCGCCCAAGAGUUCAUAUCGACGGCGGUGUUUGGCACCUCGAUGUCGGCUCAUCACAUCCUGGGGCUGAAGUCGGUCCCAAGGGUAUGGCUGUUCGCCAUUUAAAGUGGUACGCGAGCUGGGUUUAGAACGUCGUGAGACAGUUCGGUCCCUAUCUGCCGUGGGCGUUUGAGAAUUGAGAGGGGCUGCUCCUAGUACGAGAGGACCGGAGUGGACGAACCGCUGGUGUUCGGGUUGUGAUGCCAAUUGCAUUGCCCGGUAGCUACGUUCGGAACUGAUAACCGCUGAAAGCAUCUAAGCGGGAAGCAGGCCUCGAGAUGAGUUCUCACUUUGACUUAGAGUCAACUGAAGGGCCGUUGAAGACUACAACGUUGAUAGGCGAGAUGUGGAAGUGCUGUGAGGCAUUAAGCUAACUCGUACUAAUUACCCGUGAGGCUUAACCAUACAACGCCAAAGUGGUUU